AUGGAGGCAAAGAGUAGCAGCAUCAAGAAGGAAACAGAAGCAAUGGAAGAGGCGGAGAGGGUUGUCAAGAAGCAGAAUGUCACCAUGGCAAUGGAGGUCUUUGACUGCCCCGUCUGCUCUACCCCUCUGAGGCCCCCCGUUUUCCAGUGUGCCCUUGGGCAUUUCGUCUGUUCACCUUGCCGUGACAAGCUCCCAGACAGCAAAUGCCAGGCCUGCUCCGGAGUUGUCCUGAAGAGCAGCUGCUAUGGCAUCGAGCGCAUCGUCGAAUCCAUCCUUGUUCCUUGCCCAUACGCUGAGCAUGGAUGCACCGACAUGAUCACCUACUACCUCAAGGGAGAACACAAGCAGGCGUGUCCGCACGAGCCGUGCUACUGCCCGGAGCCCGGCUGUGGCUUCGCCGGCACAACAGCUGCGCUCCUGGACCACUUCACCUCCCAGCACAAGUGGCCGACUACGGUGUUCAAGUACUACGUGCCGUUUGAUCUCAUUGCCAAGCCUGGCAUGCAUGUCCUCCGUGCCCAAGAUGGCAAUCUCUUCCUACUCAACGUGUCCUCGCCGGAGUCAGUGCUGCACGGCAUCUCGCUCGUGCGCAUCCAGCCCAAGGUCUCGGAGUUGUCCAGGUUUGGAUGUUCCGUCGGUUUCUCGUGCUGGAAGGGGCACUACCAGCUCUCGUCACUGGACGCGAUCACGAGCACGUCGCUGUCAGACGGGCUGCCUAAGAGCAGUUUCUUCAGCUUCGUGCCCAAGUCAUCUGCCGUGCUCACAGUCACCAUAGAUAUGGAGCUGAUGUGUGAUAUCAAUGAUGAUGAGCUGGAGGAGGAAACGUCUGACGAUGAUGACAGCUACGGGGAGGAGGAUGGCGGUGAGGAGUAG
rnacentral:rRNA from 1 species